rnacentral:rRNA from 1 species
UGACGAGCGGCGGACGGGUGAGUAAUGUAUGGGGAUCUGCCUGAUGGCGGGGGAUAACUACUGGAAACGGUAGCUAAUACCGCAUAAUGUCUACGGACCAAAGCGGGGGACCUCCGGGCCUCGCGCCAUCAGAUGAACCCAUAUGGGAUUAGCUAGUAGGUAAGGUAACGGCUUACCUAGGCGACGAUCCCUAGCUGGUCUGAGAGGAUGAUCAGCCACACUGGGACUGAGACACGGCCCAG